GCUGGGCAUGGUGGCGCAUGCCUGUAAUCCCAGUGGUUUGGGAGACUGAGACAGGAGAAUCGUGAGUUCAAAUCCAGCCUCAG
rnacentral:sRNA from 1 species